CCGAACGCCGGCUGCGUCAUCACUCAGCUCCACAUGGACCACAGGUGUCGCGGAUUGCGUGACGUCACAGGCCGCAGCUGACAGUGUCUCCUCCUGGUUGGUCGUCACGUGUCACUGAGCCGCAGCUUCCAGUUUUAUGAGCUGAUGAUGUCACCGUCCUCUCCUGGUUGAGGUGCAGACAACUACGAUGAUGUCCUAGUCCCCUGGGGGACAUGUAGAGGACUACACUGAGGUCACCGUCCACAGCUGGAGUUCAGGAGUGACACGGCCCACAUCUGGAUGCAUGCUGGGAGUUUACUGACGUCCUCUUACGGGACUUUGACCCGGGUGGAGCUCCAGUAGACGGGCUGAGGCAUCGACACCUGAACGUGACACGUGGGACACGACUGCUUCCUCCACAGACGCUCCUCGAUGCACUGCAGAGAGAGAGGGGGUCAGGGGG